UACGGAGGGUGCGAGCGUUAUCCGGAUUCACUGGGUUUAAAGGGUGCGUAGGUGGUAAUGUAAGUCAGUGGUGAAAUCUCUGAGCUUAACUCAGAAACUGCCAUUGAUACUAUGUUUCUUGAAUUUUCUGGAGGUCAGCGGAAUAUGUCAUGUAGCGGUGAAAUGCUUAGAUAUGACAUAGAACACCAAUGCGAAGGCAGCUGGCUACAGGGAUAUUGACACUGAGGCACGAAAGCGUGGGGAUCAAACAGG
rnacentral:rRNA from 1 species